rnacentral:rRNA from 1 species
GACGAACGCUGGCGGCGUGCUUAACACAUGCAAGUCGAACGGAAAGGCCCUGCUUUUGUGGGGUGCUCGAGUGGCGACCGGGUGAGUAACACGUGAGUAACCUGCCCUUGACUUUGGGAUAACUUCAGGAAACUGGGGCUCAUCCCGGAUAGGAGCUCCUGCUGCAUGGUGGGGGUUGGAAAGUUUCGGCGGUUGGGGAUGGACUCGCGGCUUAUCAGCUUGUUGGUGGGGUAGUGGCUUACCAAGGCUUUGACGGGUAGCCGGCCUGAGAGGGUGACCGGCAACAGUGGGACGGAGAUACGGCACAGACUCCUACGGGAGGCAGCAGUGGGGAAUAUUGCACAAGGGGCGGAAGCCUGAUGCAGCAACGCCGCGUGCGGGAUGACGGCCUUCGGGUUGUAAACCGCUUUCGCCUGUGACGAAGCGUGAGUGACGGUAAUGGGUAAAGAAGCACCGGCUAACUACGUG